GCACCUUGGUCCCCUCUUCCAGACAUCCGUUACAUCAGUGUUGCUUCCUAAGUGGACAGUUUGAUUUCACAGAAGUGUGAUUGACUUGGAGUUACAUUGUGUUGUUUAAGUGUUCCCUUUAUUUUUUUGAGCAGUAUAUAUAUAUAUAUUAGCAGAAAUGUCUUCACCCGUUUUUGCUUUGUCAUUAUGAGGUAUUGUGUGUAGAUUGAUAAGGGGGAAAAUAACGAAUUAAUUAAUUUUAGAAUAAGGCUGUAAUGUAACAAAAUGUGGAAAAAGUCAAGGGGGCUGAAUUCUUUCCGAAUGCAGUGUAUCUACCUCAUACCUUGUACCUCUGCACGUUGGUCUUGUACUGGUGCUCUCUCUAUAUAGCUCCAUUCUUUUGUAUUUUAUUUUAUUCCUUGUGUUCUUGUUUUUAAGCUCUGCAUCGUUGGGAAGGGCUCUGAGCAAGUAUUUCAUGGUAAAGUCUAAAGCAGGUGUAUUAGGCGCAUGUGAGAAAUACAAUUUGAUUCGAUCAUACUAAUUUGAGUGUCGUGUAUUUAUGUUUACUGUUACCUCUAAUCUAUAAAACCAGGCUGGACUGCACAGCAGCCAUGUAAUCGCCCACGCCCUCCCUACUCUGGCACUGUAUCAGCCAAUGACUGUAUAUACGAAGGUAUCAGCACGCUUGGCUACAUCGCAUCUCCUUGCCGGAUAGCCUUUGCUGUAUCAGGACAGGACGUCACGGCUUUGACCUAGGGCAAAGAAGCACGAGUUACCCCCUUCCAUCAGCAUUGGUCUCCACAACAUCUGGGUUCUUCUGGACUCCCCGAGGUCCUCAGAUGUACCCAUGCCUCACCUACAUGGAGCGCAACCUGCGGGUAGACUGUGAGUUCCCUGUGGAAGACAACCCUGCACACCUAGGCCCCUACUGCGAGUACAAGCAGGACAGCCGACUGGUGGGAUUUGAUUGUUUUUGAUAGAUUUUCGUUCUCUUAUUUUUCUCUUUCUUUAUUUACACUGAGUGUAAAAACAUGAGGAACGCCUGCUAUUUCCAUAUCAUAGACUGACCAGGUGAAUCUAGGUGAAAGCUAUUAUCCCUUAUAGAUGUCACAUGUUAAAUCCACUUUAAAUCAGUGUAGAUGAAGGGGAGGAGGCAGGUUAAAGAAGGAUUUUUAAGCCUUGAGACAAUUGAGGCAUAGAUUGUGUAU
rnacentral:lncRNA from 8 species